rnacentral:lncRNA from 12 species
ACCAUGAGCCACCCAGGCACCCCUAUAUCAUCUUUCUCUUUGGGAUUCAGCACAUUCAAGAAUUCCACCCCUGAUAUCAAGAGGUCUAAUCUGGAAACUCAGUGAACUGGUCACUGCAGAGGCACCCCCAUUGAUUCUAUGCUCUUGUCCGCUGUUGCCUUUCCGCCCCCAGCUCGGCUCGAAUCCUUUUUCAACAAAACAGUAAGAGAGGUUUGAUUGCCUUCGGAAGGAGCGGGCUCAGGUAUGUAAUCAGGCCUUAAUUGGAAGCGCUGAGUGCUGAGUCUGGCCUGUCAGAUGAGCAGAUGCCCUCCAGGGAGAAGGAUGAGUGCAGACCUCUUGAAGCCCCUCUGUGCUAAAUAAUAGAAACGGAAGGCUCCCUGAAUGGGCCCAUCUAGGCAAUCAACACAGCUGUUUUCCGCUGCAUAAAACAAUUUCAACCAACUCAGUAAACUCAAUUAAUCCUCUUUAGAAGAUACUGAGUGGGAGAAAAGAGAUUUAUUUUGAAUAUCCUCCCUAGAGCUGUCAGCACUGGGGCUCGGCAGGGCAAAUAUGAGCUGGAGAUAGAAGGACCCACGCAGGCGUGGACUCAACCACAAAUCGUAGUCUACAGAU